rnacentral:rRNA from 1 species
AGAGUUUGAUCCUGGCUCAGAACGAACGCUGGCGGCGUGGAUUAGGCAUGCAAGUCGAACGGAACCAGGGGAGAUGGUAACAUUUCCCUGAAGUUUAGUGGCGAAAGGGUGAGUAACACGUGGGCAAUCUGCCUCGAACCUGGGGAUAACCAGCCGAAAGGCUGGCUAAUACCGAAUGUGGUCAUGAGGAGGCAUCUUCUUAUGAUUAAAGGUGGGGACCUUCGGGCCUGCCGGUUUGAGAUGAGCCCGCGCUCUAUUAGCUUGUUGGUGAGGUAACGGCUCACCAAGGCUAUGAUGGAUAGCCGGACUGAGAGGUUGACCGGCCACACUGGGACUGAGACACUGCCCAGACUCCUACGGGAGGCUGCAGUCGAGAAUCUUUCGCAAUGGGGGAAACCCUGACGAAGCGACGCCGCGUGGGUGAUGAAGGCCUUCGGGUCGUAAAACCCUGUCACAAGGGAAGAAAUGCAUGCAUAUUAAUAGUAUGCAUGCUUGACGGUACCUUGAGAGGAAGCUCCGGCUAACUCCGUGCCAGCAGCCGCGGUAAUACGGAGGGAGCGAGCGUUGUUCGGAUUUAUUGGGCGUAAAGGGUGUCUAGGCGGUUAGAGUAAGUCUUUUGUGAAAUCCCUCGGCUUACCCGAGGAAUAGCGGAAGAAACUAUCUGACUUGAGUAUGGCAGACGCGAGCGGAAUUCUCAGUGUAGCGGUGGAAUGCGUAGAUAUUGAGAAGAACACCGGUGGCGCAGGCGGCUCGCGAGGUCACUACUGACGCUGAAGCACGAAAGCCAGGGGAGCGAACGGGAUUAGAUACCCCGGUAGUCCUGGCUGUAAACGAUGUGCACUUGGUGUAGGAGGUAUCGACCCCUUCUGUGCCGCAGUUAACGCGUUAAGUGCACCGCCUGGGGAGUACGGCCGCAAGGUUGAAACUCAAAGGAAUUGACGGGGGCCCGCACAAGCGGUGGAGCAUGUGGUUUAAUUCGAUGCAACGCGAAGAACCUUACCAGGGCUUGACAUGUAGUCGACUGUCUGUGAAAGCAGGCUUUCCUUCGGGACGGCUACACAGGUGCUGCAUGGCUGUCGUCAGCUCGUGUCGUGAGAUGUUGGGUUAAGUCCCGCAACGAGCGCAACCCUUGUCGUUAGUUGCCAGCAUUUAAGGUGGGAACUCUAACGAGACUGCCGGUGAUAAACCGGAGGAAGGUGGGGAUGACGUCAAGUCAGUAUGGCCCUUACGUCCUGGGCUACACACGUGCUACAAUGGUCGGUACAGAGGGUCGCUAAGCCGCGAGGUGGAGCCAAUCCCAGAAAACCGGCCCCAGUUCGGAUUGGAGUCUGCAACUCGACUCCAUGAAGUUGGAAUCGCUAGUAAUGGCGUAUCAGCUACGACGCCGUGAAUACGUUCCCGGGCCUUGUACACACCGCCCGUCACAUCACGAAAGUCCAUUGUACCAGAAGUCGCUGAGCUAACCCGCAAGGGGGGCAGGCGCCGAAGGUAUGGUUGAUAAUUGGGAUGAAGUCGUAACAAGGUA